rnacentral:misc_RNA from 1 species
GGAGGUAGUAGGUCGAAAGACCGUUCUACACUCC